rnacentral:rRNA from 1 species
UUUUACAACAAAAUAAUUCGCCAGAGGACUACUAGCAAUAGCUUAAAACUCAAAGGACUUGGCGGUGCUUUAUAUCCCUCUAGAGGAGCCUGUUCUAUAAUCGAUAAACCCCGAUAAACCUCACCACCUUUCGCUAAUUCAGUCUAUAUACCGCCAUCUUCAGCAAACAAA